GACGAACGCUGGCGGCGUGCUUAACACAUGCAAGUCGAACGGAAAGGCCCUGCUUUUGUGGGGUGCUCGAGUGGCGAACGGGUGAGUAACACGUGAGUAACCUGCCCUUCACUUUGGGAUAACUUCAGGAAACUGGGGCUAAUACCGUAUAGGAGCUCCUGCUGCAUGGUGGGCAGUGGAAAGUUUCGGCUGUUGGGGAUGGACUCGCGGCUUAUCAGCUUGUUGGUGGGGUAGUGGCUGACCAAGGCUUUGACGGGUCGGCGGCCUGAGAGGGUGACCGGGCACAUUGGGACUGAGGUACGGACCAGACGCGUACGGGAGGCAACGGGGGGGAGCAUUACCCAGUGGGAGGGAGCGUGAUGAGGAAACGUUGCGUGCGGAAUGCCGGCUUUUGGGUUGUGAACCGCUUUAGGCUGUGACGAAGCGGGAGUGACGGUAAUGGGUGAAGAAGCACCGGCUAACUACGUG
rnacentral:rRNA from 1 species